UUAAACGGGAGGCAGCAGUGGGGAAUAUUGCACAAUGGGGGAAACCCUGAUGCAGCCAUGCCGCGUGUGUGAAGAAGGCCUUCGGGUUGUAAAGCACUUUCAGUUGUGAGGAAAAGUUAGUAGUUAAUACCUGCUAGCCGUGACGUUAACAACAGAAGAAGCACCGGCUAACUCCGUGCCAGCAGCCGCGGUAAUACGGAGGGUGCGAGCGUUAAUCGGAAUUACUGGGCGUAAAGCGCACGCAGGCGGUUUGUUAAGCUAAAUGUGAAAGCCCCGGGCUCAACCUGGGAUGGUCAUUUAGAACUGGCAGACUAAAGUCUUGGAGAGGGGAGUGGAAUUCCAGGUGUAGCGGUGAAAUGCGUAGAUAUCUGGAGGAACAUCAGUGGCGAAGGCGACUCCCUGGCCAAAGACUGACGCUCAUGUGCGAAAGUGUGGGUAGCGAACAAGAUUAGAUACCCUGGUAGUCCACACCGUAAACGCUGUCUACUACCUGUUUGUGACUUUAAGUCCUGAGUAACCAAACCUAACGCGCUAAGUAGACCGCCC
rnacentral:rRNA from 1 species